CAGUCUCCGCGGUAAUACAGAGGGUGCGAGCGUUAAUAGGAUUUACUGGGCGUAAAGCGUGCGUAGGCGGCUUCUUAAGUCGGAUGUGAAAUCCCUGAGCUUAACUUAGGAAUUGCAUUCGAUACUGGGAAGCUAGAGUAUGGGAGAGGAUGGUAGAAUUCCAGGUGUAGCGGUGAAAUGCGUAGAGAUCUGGAGGAAUACCGAUGGCGAAGGCAGCCAUCUGGCCUAAUACUGACGCUGAGGUACGAAAGCAUGGGGAGCAAACAGGAUUAGAGACCCGUGUAGUCCCUGUCUCUUAUAC
rnacentral:rRNA from 1 species